rnacentral:rRNA from 1 species
CGGGUCCUACGGGGGGCAGCAGUGGGGAAUAUUGCACAAUGGGGGAAACCCUGAUGCAGCAACGCCGCGUGAGUGAAGAAGUAUUUCGGUAUGUAAAGCUCUACCAGCAGGGAAGAAAAUGACGGUACCUGAGUAAGAAGCCCCGGCUAACUACGUGCCAGCAGCCGCGGUAAUACGUAGGGGGCAAGCGUUAUCCGGAUUUACUGGGUGUAAAGGGGGCGCAGACGGCGAUGCAAGCCAGGAGUGAAAGCCCGGGGCCCAAACCCGGGACUGCUCUUGGAACUGCGUGGCUAGAGUGCAGGAGG